CCAAAGGCAAAAGAGGGGCAGAGGAGAGGAAAGGUAAAAAAGAGAAGCAGCAGAGAGGAGGCUGGAGGCACCCAGAAAAGAUCCAGAGGCUUAACACUGUUCCUCUGUUUCAAAGGAGUCAGCAUGAAUGCGGUGGGGGAGAAGGAAGCAUUGUUCCAGGAGGAAAACAGUGAUGUUUUUGUUUCCAGAGCUCUUGCAACAACUAAGCCUGUUUUCUUGCUUUGCUCAAAUGGGAGGGAGAAGUGAAGAGGAGCGAACUGGAAGAAGGGAAUGCCACUCUCCUAAUGACCCAGCUCAGGAGGUGCUAGGGGAGGAUGGAGGAAGUGAAUGACCCAGCUCAGGAGGUGCUAGGGGAGGAUGGAGGAAGUGAAUGACCCAGCUCAGGACGUGGUGAGGGAGGAUGGAGGAAGUGCUUCCCUUUAAAUGCUUCCCCUUUGCGGGGGCUCACCUAAGGCCCAGGGAGGGCCACGACUCUCAUGUGGGGCAGGCCCCACCAGCACCUCCCUCCAUCCUGCCCCCUGUCCUUCCCCUCCGUCAUCUAGAGCCAGCCUCUGCCAGCACAGCUCAGAGUCGCAUUCUCUGCUAGGCCGCCAGCCCGACUCUACAGAAUGCACACCUGGAGCCAUAUGGAAUCUCAGGAACCUGCAAGGCUUCCCUCCCACUACGCGGACUAAGGGCAAGGCUCUCAGAAACGUGAGUUCCUGCAGCAGCGGGUGGG
rnacentral:lncRNA from 1 species